GUCCUACGGGAGGCAGCAGUGGGGAAUAUUGCACAAUGGGGGAAACCCUGAUGCAGCAACGCCGCGUGAAGGAAGACGGUUUUCGGAUUGUAAACUUCUGUUCUUAGUGAAGAAGAAAGACGGUACCUGACCAAGAAGCCCCGGCUAACUACGUGCCAGCAGCCGCGGUAAUACGUAGGGGGCAAGCGUUAUCCGGAUUUACUGGGUGUAAAGGGAGCGUAGACGGCAGGGCAAGUCUGGAGUGAAAGGCAGGGGCCCAACCCCUGGACUGCUCUGGAAACUGUCCGGCUGGAGUGCAGGAGAGG
rnacentral:rRNA from 1 species